AUGAACCACUUCGGUGGGGAUUAGUGGCGAACGGGUGAGUAACACGUGGGCAAUCUGCCCUGCACUCUGGGACAAGCCCUGGAAACGGGGUCUAAUACCGGAUACUGAUCCUCGCAGGCAUCUGCGAGGUUCGAAAGCUCCGGCGGUGCAGGAUGAGCCCGCGGCCUAUCAGCUAGUUGGUGAGGUAACGGCUCACCAAGGCGACGACGGGUAGCCGGCCUGAGAGGGCGACCGGCCACACUGGGACUGAGACACGGCCCAGACUCCUACGGGAGGCAGCAGUGGGGAAUAUUGCACAAUGGGCGAAAGCCUGAUGCAGCGACGCCGCGUGAGGGAUGACGGCCUUCGGGUUGUAAACCUCUUUCAGCAGGGAAGAAGCGAAAGUGACGGUACCUGCAGAAGAAGCGCCGGCUAACUACGUGCCAGCAGCCGCGGUAAUACGUAGGGCGCAAGCGUUGUCCGGAAUUAUUGGGCGUAAAGAGCUCGUAGGCGGCUUGUCACGUCGGUUGUGAAAGCCCGGGGCUUAACCCCGGGUCUGCAGUCGAUACGGGCAGGCUAGAGUUCGGUAGGGGAGAUCGGAAUUCCUGGUGUAGCGGUGAAAUGCGCAGAUAUCAGGAGGAACACCGGUGGCGAAGGCGGAUCUCUGGGCCGAUACUGACGCUGAGGAGCGAAAGCGUGGGGAGCGAACAGGAUUAGAUACCCUGG
rnacentral:rRNA from 1 species